CUUUUAUAUUCUUUUGGCACUAUUCAGGAGUAGGUAUUGUAACAUUUAUAUCAUAAACUGGACAACUGGACUCAGAGAUGAAUUUCAGUGUGGCUAAGUGCAUGCAGGAAGUUGUAUAUUCAAACAAUUACAGGCAUCAAAUUAGCAAUUACAGAGGAAAAAGAUCGAGGAGGCACGGUGUAUGGUUCUCUGAAAAUUUCAGUUCCAGUGCUUUGUGGCAGGUCCUCAAAGAUCAUGCAGGUUUGACCUCCUUUGAAUUCAGAAAUAGAAAGAAGAAAGUUACAUUUGCUGUGAGGCUGGAAUACAUCAAAAGCACACAAAAGGGAACUUAAUCUGAGGUUUGUGUUGGAAAACCGGUUUACAAAAAAGUUGUUUAAAAUCUGUGGAAGGUAAAUGGAAGAGCUGCAAUUACAUUCUGACUAAGACAUGUCUUACCUGGGCUUUAUAAACAAAAAUCCCUCGGAAAAUGUAAAACUUGAAAAAGGAGAUUUACAAAGGUUGGAUGUGAUCAUGUACCCCCAACAGGUACAGAGGUAAGGUUCAGAUUAAUUUCAAAUAAUUGACAAAUGUAUGGUUCUUCUUGGUUAAAAUACAAUUGCUGUAGCAAAUAUACAUAUUACAGACCUCUACAUACAUAUUUUUGUGUGUGCGUGCUUUCUAUAGAGAAGUACUCACUUGCUUUUGGUUUGUCUAGCCCUUUUGGCCAGCGGCCUAGACCUUCCAGCCUAAGCAAUAUAAUACUUUAACCUGUUAAACCCAGCACAAGGAAAAAUAAUUUCUAACAGCAUGAGGAAAAAAUUAUUUAUUAAUGUAGGUUGUUUUCUUUUUUUUUUUUUUUUCCAGCAAAAAGGGUAGAGGUCUGCAUGUUUAUAAAUAAAAUUGACUUCAGUGUACUGCUGAGGAGAAGC
rnacentral:lncRNA from 1 species